GGGUUGUGAGGUUAAGCGACUAAGCGUACACGGUGGAUGCCCUGGCAGUCAGAGGCGAUGAAGGGCGUACUAAUCUGCGAUAAGCGCCGGUAAGGUGAUAUGAACCGUUAUAACCGGCGAUACCCGAAUGGGGAAACCCAGUGUGAUUCGUCACACUAUCAUUAACUGAAUCCAUAGGUUAAUGAGGCGAACCGGGGGAACUGAAACAUCUAAGUACCCCGAGGAAAAGAAAUCAACCGAGAUUCCCCCAGUAGCGGCGAGCGAACGGGGAGGAGCCCAGAGCCUGAAUCAGCAUGUGUGUUAGUGGAAGCGUCUGGAAAGGCGCGCGAUACAGGGUGACAGCCCCGUACACAAAAGCGCAUGUGCUGUGAGCUCGAUGAGUAGGGCGGGACACGUGGUAUCCUGUCUGAAUAUGGGGGGACCAUCCUCCAAGGCUAAAUACUCCUGACUGACCGAUAGUGAACCAGUACCGUGAGGGAAAGGCGAAAAGAACCCCGGCGAGGGGAGUGAAAAAGAACCUGAAACCGUGUACGUACAAGCAGUGGGAGCCCCACCACCAAAGCAUUUGCUGUACCGCGUUGACGGAGCGAAGCGACGUCAAA
rnacentral:rRNA from 1 species